rnacentral:rRNA from 1 species
GACGAACGCUGGCGGCGUGCUUAACACAUGCAAGUCGAACGGAAAGGCCCUGGUUUUGUGGGGCGCACGAGUGGCGAACGGGUGAGUAACACGUGUGUGACCUGCCCUUGACUUUGGGAUAACUUCAGGAAACUGGGGCUAAUCCCGGAUAGGAGGUCCUGCUGCCUGGAGGGGGGUGGCAAGUUUCGGCGGUUGGGGAUGGACUCGAGGCUUAUCCGCUUGUUGGUGGGGUAGUGGCUUACCAAGGCUUGGAAGGGUAGCCGGGCUGGGAGGAUGACCGGCCACAUUACGACUGGGAUACGGCCCAGACUCGUACGGGAGGCAACGGCGGGGAAGAUUGCACAAUGGGCGGAAGCCAAAUCCAGCAACGCCGCGUGCGGGAUGACAGCCCUCGGGUUGGAAUCCACUGUCGCCUUUGACGAAACGAGAAUGACGGUAAUGGAUAAAGAAGCCCCGGCUAACUACGUG